rnacentral:rRNA from 1 species
AGAGAGAGACAUGCGCGCAUAUCAAUAAGCGGAGGAAAAGAAACUAACUAGGAUUCCCUCAGUAACGGCGAGUGAAGCGGGAAGAGCUCAAAUUUGAAAUCUUCAAGGUUCUACCUUGACGAAUUGUAGUUUAAAGAAGUGUUUUCUGUUGGAGUUUUGGUAAAAGUUCUUUGGAAUAGGACAUCAUAGAGGGUGAGAAUCCCGUAUUUGACCAUUAUUUCCAGCUUUGUGAUACACUUUCAAAGAGUCGGAUUGUUUGGGAAUGCAGUCCAAAAUGGGUGGUAAAUUUCAUCUAAAGCUAAAUACUGGCGAGAGACCGAUAGCGAACAAGUACCGUGAGGGAAAGAUGAAAAGAACUUUGAAAAGAGAGUUAAACAGUACGUGAAAUUGUCAAAAGGGAAGCGUUUGACACCAGUGUUGUUUUCUCGAAAUCAAUUAAAAAAGGCAGGAUUUUGUGUUGUAUUGACUUUAUCAGCUCUCUGCACUCUUUUCUUGUCUUUUUUAAUGCACUUUUCGUUUAACAAGUCAACAUCAAUUUCUUUUGUUGUAAAAGGGUCAUUGGAAGGUGGCUUUCUUUACGGAGAAAGUGUUUAUAGCCUCUUGGCCUAUGCAAUCGGAGAGAUUGAGGUCUGCAGCGUAGAUCCUUCGGGGCUAGAUACAUUUGUGCUAAGUUAUAGCAUUUCAUAGACAACUUGUUGACUAUGAUUAGUCAUUGUAGCUUACUCGCUUAUGCUUAUUUUACCUACGCUUAGGAUGUUGAUGUGAUACUGCGAGC